rnacentral:rRNA from 1 species
AACGAACGCUGGCGGCAUGCCUAACACAUGCAAGUCGAACGCGUGUAGCAAUACACGAGUGGCGGACGGGUGAGUAACGCGUGGGAACCUGCCCAAUGGUAGGGAAUAACUGCGGGAAACUGCAGCUAAUACCCUAUGCUCCCUACGGGGGAAAGAUUUAUCGCCAUUGGAGGGGCCCGCGUCGGAUUAGCUAGUUGGCGGGGUAACGGCCCACCAAGGCUACGAUCCGUAGCUGGUCUGAGAGGAUGAUCAGCCACACUGGAACUGAGACACGGUCCAGACUCCUACGGGAGGCAGCAGUGGGGAAUUUGGACAAUGGGGGCAACCCUGAUCCAGCCAUUCCGCGUGAGUGAAGAAGGCCUU